rnacentral:rRNA from 1 species
GGCAAGCGUUGUCCGGAAUUAUUGGGCGUAAAGCGCGCGCAGGCGGUCCUUUAAGUCUGAUGUGAAAGCCCACGGCUCAACCGUGGAGGGUCAUUGGAAACUGGGGGACUUGAGUGCAGGAGAGGGGAGCGGAAUUCCAUGUGUAGCGGUGAAAUGCGUAGAGAUAUGGAGGAACACCAGUGGCGAAGGCGGCUCUCUGGCCUGUAACUGACGCUGAGGCGCGAAAGCGUGGGGAGCGAACAGGAUUAGAUACCCUGGUAGUCCACGCCGUAAACGAUGAGUGCUAAGUGUUAGAGGGUUUCCACCCUUUAGUGCUGCAGCUAACGCAUUAAGCACUCCGCCUGGGGAGUACGGUCGCAAGACUGAAACUCAAAGGAAUUGACGGGGGCCCGCACAAGCGGUGGAGCAUGUGGUUUAAUUCGAAGCAACGCGAAGAACCUUACCAGGUCUUGACAUCCUCUGACAACUCUAGAGAUAGAGCGUUCCCCUUCGGGGGACAGAGU